AGGUAGCGAAAUUCCUUGUCGGGUAAGUUCCGACCUGCACGAAUGGCGUAACGAUGGCCACACUGUCUCCUCCCGAGACUCAGCGAAGUUGAAAUGGUUGUGAUGAUGCAAUCUACCCGCGGCUAGACGGAAAGACCCCAUGAACCUUUACUGUAGCUUUACAUUGGACUUUGAACCAAUCUGUGUAGGAUAGGUGGGAGGCUUUGAAGCGUGAACGCUAGUUUGCGUGGAGCCGACCUUGAAAUACCACCCUGGUUUGUUUGAGGUUCUAACCUUGGCCCGUUAUCCGGGUUGGGGACAGUGUAUGGUAGGCAGUUUGACUGGGGCGGUCUCCUCCAAAAGCGUAACGGAGGAGUUCGAAGGUACGCUAGGUACGGUCGGACAUCGUGCUAAUAGUGCAAUGGCAUAAGCGUGCUUAACUGCGAGACAGACAAGUCGAGCAGGUACGAAAGUAGGACAUAGUGAUCCGGUGGUUCUGUAUGGAAGGGCCAUCGCUCAACGGAUAAAAGGUACUCUGGGGAUAACAGGCUGAUUCCUCCCAAGAGUUCAUAUCGACGGGGGAGUUUGGCACCUCGAUGUCGGCUCAUCACAUCCUGGGGCUGUAGUCGGUCCCAAGGGUAUGGCUGUUCGCCAUUUAAAGUGGUACGUGAGCUGGGUUUAAAACGUCGUGAGACAGUUUGGUCCCUAUCUGCCGUGGGCGUUGGAAGUUUGAGAGGGGCUGCUCCUAGUACGAGAGGACCGGAGUGGACGAACCUCUGGUGUACCGGUUGUCACGCCAGUGGCAUCGCCGGGUAGCUAAGUUCGGGAAAGAUAACCGCUGAAAGCAUCUAAGCGGGAAACUUGCCUCAAGAUAAGACUUCCCGGAGCCUUGAGCUCCCUGAAGAGUCGUUCGAGACCAGGACGUUGAUAGGCUGGGUGUGGAAGCGCAGUAAUGCGUUAAGCUAACCAGUACUAAUUGCUCGUGAGGCUUGUCUCU
rnacentral:rRNA from 1 species